rnacentral:lncRNA from 1 species
GGAGGGUUGGUGGCAAGUAUGCCUGUGGCACUAACAACCAAGACCAGCAGCAGGUGUUUAUGUGGUGGCAAGAGGUGGCCAUAGGCAGGCAUAUGUGCAGCAGUGCAAACCACCAGUGAGUAUGUGGCUGCAACAGCCAAAGCCAAUAGCAGGCAUAUGUACAGUGGUGAGAGCUGGGUAAGGGCAUGCACGCAGUGGUGCAAAUAAGCAGUGCUUGCAUGCACUGUCAUUAACAGCCAGGGCCAGUUGUGUGCAUGCACAUGCCCAUGAGAAUUGGUCACAGAUGAAUGUGGUGGUUAAAACUGGGGCUAGUGGGUCAGUGCCAACUGCAGGCAUGCAUGCAGUGACUGCACUGGUUCCCAGGGUUUGGGUGCCCACAGAGGCGCUGGCUGGGGCAGCUCCACUGGAGGUAAAAAUAGCCUAGUCAGCUGGGGUCCAUGAAGGAGAAAGCCAGAAGGCCAUCUGCGGUGAAAGCCAUGGGAAUUCCAAGCCAGCUGGGAGGUCUUCAGUGGAGAAGGGUGCUGGGGUCAUCUGAAGACCAGGCCGCUAUGAACCAUGGUAUCCCCUGCCACGUGGCUGACACAAUGCCCUCUGUCCUUCUUUAUUCCUAGCUGCUUCCAGAUAUCUCAGCUAUGCCAGUCUUCCCCGGGAUUUGAGUGGGAUAAAACCAAUGUGGAUCUUUUGGGCAGUACCCACAAAUUGUGAAGAGGCUGGACACUCACCCUGCUCUCAUUUUCACCUGAGGGUAACAUUUGGUAAUGAGCUGUGCCAGCCUGACGGAUGGCAUAAAGAUAAAAUGAGACUUCUUCAUACCCAUUCUGUGUGGUUAUUCUUGUUUUUGUUGUUGUUGUUUUGGUUUGGUUUUGCUUUGCUUUUUUGCUCUACUAUGCUGCCGCAGCUUCUUAUCUGGACUCCAAAGCCCUCCCACAGCUAUUUCCAUUCCUGGAUGUCUAUCAGAUUGUUGUUUGUGGGGUUGAGGGCCAGGGUCUCCUACUCUACCAUCUUGUUGGUAAUACUUCCUUCUUGAAUAUCUUAUAUGUUUUUCCCCUCAAAAGCAGAAGUACCUUGGUAAUGAGAGUAAUGCUAAGUUACUGUUAAGUAAUGUUAAGUAACUUUAUUAACUUUUAGAGAACAGUAUAUCAGCUGAUAUCUGUUCUGUGUUAGCUUAUUUCCUUCUUACUUCACAAACCUUAGUAAGUGGAAUUUCUAAGGCUUAUGCUAUCCAAGACAGCUAGAAAGAAUAUCAAGUAAUUUCAAUUAUUAUCCCUCAAGUAAAUGCCAGUCUCUCCCCAACCCCCAUAUACACACACAAACUUUGAUUGAGAACUGUGUUUCUGUUUAUCUCUGGGUUAUCACUCAAUGUCUUGCAGAUUGCCUGGAAUAUUUUGCGAAUGGGUGAACAGUCACAAGUACUGAUUAUCUGAGGAAACAUCAUAUAAUUAAACUCAAAGUAUAUCAUUCAGUGAUAAUAAACACAUUAACUUAACAAAAUGUUGGAUUUUCUCUCUUACUUACCUCUUCGUUUCGUACAUUGAAACUGUAGCUAGUUAGAAGGAGGAUUUCUUUCUUAAUUAUUAUUAUUUUGAGCUCUGUCACCUAGGCUGAAGUGCAGUGGCACAGUCUUGGCUCACUGCAGCCUCCACCUCCCAAAUUCAAGUGGUCUUCCUACCUCAUACUCCCGAGUAGCUGGGACUACAGGUGCAUGCCACUACGCCUGGCUGAUUUUUGUAUUUUCAGUAGAGGCAGGGUUUCACCAUGUUGGCCAGGCUGGUCUCAAAUACCUGACCUCAGAUGAUCCGUCCACCUCGGCCACCCAAAGUGCUGGGAUUACAGGCGUGAGCCACUGCAUCCGGCUGUCUAUCUUAUUUUUAAAAGGGCUGCCCUCAAACUAUCUCACUACCACCAGAGCCUCCUUAAUUAGCAAAACAUUAAAUUACUUGAGGUCCAGCACUCUCAGGGUGCCUAUUAUGGUCACAUAUAAAUUAGGAGAAAAACAAAAAGCAGAGCUUUCAUUUGUUUUUAUCUGACUUCAUUAUUUUUAUCUGACUUCAAAAUGUGUUUUGUAUUCUUGAGUUCUCCCAAGUUCUAGAUCUUUAUUCUUAACUGACUCUGGAUAUUUUAAACUCCAUCUCCACUCU